GAUGAACGCUGGCGGCGUGCCUAAUACAUGCAAGUCGAGCGAACGGACGAGAAGCUUGCUCCUCUGAUGUUAGCGGCGGACGGGUGAGUAACACGUGGAUAACCUACCUAUAAGACUGGGAUAACUUCGGGAAACCGGAGCUAAUACCGGAUAAUAUUUUGAACCGCAUGGUUCAAAAGUGAAAGACGGUCUUGCUGUCACUUAUAGAUGGAUCCGCGCUGCAUUAGCUAGUUGGUAAGGUAACGGCUUACCAAGGCAACGAUGCGUAGCCGACCUGAGAGGGUGAUCGGCCACACUGGAACUGAGACACGGUCCAGACUCCUACGGGAGGCAGCAGUAGGGAAUCUUCCGCAAUGGGCGAAAGCCUGACGGAGCAACGCCGCGUGAGUGAUGAAGGUCUUCGGAUCGUAAAACUCUGUUAUUAGGGAAGAACAUAUGUGUAAGUAACUAUGCACAUCUUGACGGUACCUAAUCAGAAAGCCACGGCUAACUACGUG
rnacentral:rRNA from 1 species